rnacentral:rRNA from 1 species
UACGUAGGGUGCGAGCGUUGUCCGGAAUUAUUGGGCGUAAAGAGCUCGUAGGUGGUUUGUCGCAUUGUUCGUGAAAACUCACAGCUUAACUGUGGGCGUGCGGGCGAUACGGGGCAGACUGGAGUACUGCAGGGGAGACUGGAAUUCCUGGUGUAGCGGGUGGAAUGACGCCAGAUAUCAGGAGGGAACACCCGGUGGCGAAGGCGGGUCUCUGGGCAGUAACUGACGCUGGAGGAAGCGAAAAGCGUGGGGAGCGAACAGG